GGGGAAUUUUCCGCAAUGGGCGAAAGCCUGACGGAGCAAGACCGCGUGAGGGAGGAAGGCUCUUGUGGUUGUAAACCUCUUUUCUCAGGGAAUAAGAACUGAAGGUACCUGAGGAAUCAGCAUCGGCUAACUCCGUGCCAGCAGCCGCGGUAAUACGGAGGAUGCAAGCGUUAUCCGGAAUGAUUGGGCGUAAAGCGUCCGCAGGNUGGUUUAUCAAGUCUGCUGUCAAAGAGUUUGGCUCAACCAAAUAAAGGCAGUGGAAACUGACAGACUGGAGUGCGGUAAGGGCAGAGGGAAUUCCUGGUGUAGCGGUGAAAUGCGUAGAGAUCAGGAAGAACACCGGUGGCGAAAGCGCUCUGCUGGGCCGUAACUGACACUGAGGGACGAAAGCUAGGGGAGCGAAUGGGAUUAAUACCCCANUAGUCA
rnacentral:rRNA from 1 species